rnacentral:rRNA from 1 species
GCUAAUACCGCAUAACGUCGCAAGACCAAAGAGGGGGACCUUCGGGCCUCUUGCCAUCAGAUGUGCCCAGAUGGGAUUAGCUAGUUGGUGAGGUAACGGCUCACCAAGGCGACGAUCCCUAGCUGGUCUGAGAGGAUGACCAGCCACACUGGAACUGAGACACGGUCCAGACUCCUACGGGAGGCAGCAGUGGGGAAUAUUGCACAAUGGGCGCAAGCCUGAUGCAGCCAUGCCGCGUGUAUGAAGAAGGCCUUCGGGUUGUAAAGUACUUUCAGCGGGGAGGAAGGUGUUGUGGUUAAUAACCGCAGCAAUUGACGUUACCCGCAGAAGAAGCACCGGCUAACUCCGUGCCAGCAGCCGCGGUAAUACGGAGGGUGCAAGCGUUAAUCGGAAUUACUGGGCGUAAAGCGCACGCAGGCGGUCUGUCAAGUCGGAUGUGAAAUCCCCGGGCUCAACCUGGGAACUGCAUUCGAAACUGGCAGGCUUGAGUCUUGUAGAGGGGGGUAGAAUUCCAGGUGUAGCGGUGAAAUGCGUAGAGAUCUGGAGGAAUACCGGUGGCGAAGGCGGCCCCCUGGACAAAGACUGACGCUCAGGUGCGAAAGCGUGGGGAGCAAACAGGAUUAGAUACCCUGGUAGUCCACGCCGUAAACGAUGUCUACUUGGAGGUUGUGCCCUUGAGGCGUGGCUUCCGGAGCUAACGCGUUAAGUAGACCGCCUGGGGAGUACGGCCGCAAGGUUAAAACUCAAAUGAAUUGACGGGGGCCCGCACAAGCGGUGGAGCAUGUGGUUUAAUUCGAUGCAACGCGAAGAACCUUACCUGGUCUUGACAUCCACGGAAGUUUUCAGAGAUGAGAAUGUGCCUUCGGGAACCGUGAGACAGGUGCUGCAUGGCUGUCGUCAGCUCGUGUUGUGAAAUGUUGGGUUAAGUCCCGCAACGAGCGCAACCC